UUUUUUUCCUAUUAAUCCUUGAUGUUUGAGAACUUCACCACUCUUUCUGAUAACAAAAAUAUUUUGACUCGCAUAAUACCACACAACAAUGUUUUCUGAAAUGGGACUGUUAUAAUUUAUAUAUAACAAACAUAUUGGACUUACAUAUUGUGGGUCUGCCACGUCUGAAUCAUAUUGCAUUUAGCAAAAAGUUUUGGCAACAUAUAGUGGCAUUUGCAUUUCUGUUCUGGGAAUAAUAGAAGAGAUCUAAGGAGAUCUAUUUACCAGGAAAAACACCAUAAGGAACAAGAAUGCAAUGGUACAACAAUGAAUUUACCUAUUAUAUCAGUACACAACAUGAAUGAUCACAAUUGUUGCAGUUCUAUGACAAGUGUUGGAUGGAUGAUUACAACAUGGAAAAAAAUACAAUGAAAUUCUGACAACAAGGACUUCCAUAACAACUUCGAGUGUCAUGCAUGGAUCACAGUGUCUCAAUCCUACACUGUAGAAGAAUUGCUGAAGGAUACGUUGCACAAGCUAUGCAAAGAAAAAUUGGAGACACCUCUUCACAAUGAUUCAUUGAUAGAUGAAAUGAGAAAUCACUUGCGCCACAAAAGGUAUGUCGUCCUGUUUCAUGACGUAUGGGAUAAAAAGUUUUCGGAUGGUAUUGAUUUUGCUAUAAUUGAUAAAAAUUCGGACACAGGUAUCAAUCACUACUUCGGACACAGGUUGCGGAGUUUUGUCAGAUAACUUCCUUCAUUCAGGUGUAUAAGCUAGAACCUUUAAGUGACGAAAAAUCUUUGGAAUUGUUAUGAUGUGGAAAGGCAUUUUUUUCGGGUUUUGGUGGAUGCUGUACAAAAGAAUAUGAAGACGUAGGUCUUGAAAUGGUUAGAAAGUGUGAACGUUUACCUCUAGCAAUUGUUGCAUUGGUGGUCUUUUAUAUAGCAAAUGUCAAAGUGCACUUGAAUGGACAGGUUUAGUCAAAAUCUAUGUUCGGAGUUGAAGAGGAAUUCUGAGUUAAUUAGUAUUUAAAAAGAAAAAUUGGUUUGAGUUAUGAUGAUUUUCUGUUCAAUCUCAGAUCAUGUUUAUUGUAUUUUAGAAUGUAUCCGGAAGACUAUGAAGUUAAAUCUGGAAGAUUGAUUACGCAGUGGAUAGCUGAAGGGUUUGUCAAACAUGAAAAUGGAAGAACUUUAGAAGAAGUUGCACAACAACAUUUAAUGGAGUUGAUCACUACAAGUUUGGUGCAAGUAUCUUCAUUUACUAUAGAUGACAAAGUUAAAGGAUGUCGUGUUCAUGACUUAAUACAUGAAAUGAUCCUUGGAAAUAUCAAGGAUACAUGGAUUUGUCUGUAUAUUGAUGAGCAUAAUCAAUUGGUGUCAAGUGCGAUCGUUAGACGCUUAACAAUAGGAUCAGAUUCCAAUGAUUUAAUUGAAAAUACUGAAAGAUCACGCAUUCGGUCAGUUCUAAUUUUCACAAAGCAAAAGUUACCCGAAUACUUAAUCAGUGGAAUACUUGAAAAAUACAUACCAUUGAAGGUACUUGAUUUUGAAGAUGCUAUACUAUAUCAUCUUCCUGAAAAUUGGGGGAAUUUAAUCCACUUGAAGUAUCUGAGCUUCAUGGUAUACACAGAUAGAAAGUCUUCCAAAAUCCAUUGGUAAGCUCCAGAACUUGGAGACCUUGGAUGUAAGACAAACAAAAGUGUUUCAGAUACCAAAGGAGAUUAGCAAGCUUUUAAAGCUACGUCAUCUUCUGGCUAACGAAAUAUCUUCAAUUGCAGUGAAGGAUAGUAUUGGAGGCAUGACAUCUCUACAAAAAAUAUGCCUUCUGUAAGGAUUAUAGCGACUAAGGGGAACCAUUUAUACAAACUUGGAAGAAUUCAUUAUCAACUUCACUCAACUCCAACAGCUUAGUAAGGUGUGCAAGGGAAAUAAUGGAAAAUUUACUUGGUUUGCAACUGUUUGAAGUUUGAAGAACUAGGCUUUUUCGAAAAGGGUUAUAAUUAUAAUUUUCCACCAGUCCUAAGCCCUGACUAUGUCUCCAUUUUACUUCAAAUUGCUUGUGGUUGAUGCGUUCAAAUUGCUUGAUGAGUUCUUCACAAGUCCUAAGCACCUCUACUUGGUUGAUGCUCGAAUCCGUGGAUGCAAGUGAUGAUAUAUGUGGUUGCAUGUUGAUUUUGGAGGAUCCGUUCGCAUGCACGGAGAAAUUUGGCCCUGUUCUGAUUUUUGGUGUUUUGAUCUGAUCUUGGAUGCAUCUUGUGUUAUUAAAAAGGAUAUUUGGUUGAAGGAAAUGUGAUGUCUAUAUCAUUGUGAAGCUUAAAUGGUACACACAUUUUGGUAAAAAGUGAUAGGUGCUCACUUAGGUUUGAGUAUUCUCUGUUUUCUAUCCAUACUGUUUUAUUUUAUUUAAUGUGUUCUGGAAUGUUAAAAAUAAAAAAAGGUAGUUGAUUUAUGUUGAUAUAUGGGUUGGUAGUAUCCUAUAAAAUUUUCAGAAUUUUUUAUGAUAAUAUUGUUGGAAGAAUAUGGAUUGAACCCUAUGUUCAUUCUCUGCAUUUCCAGUGAGGAUGUUCGUGCUCUGGAUCAAUCAUUAUUUUUCUCUGACAAUUUUUGGAGAGAUAAUUAUUUUUUUGUGUUCUUAAGAUCAUAAGGAGUAUGUCCAAAUAUUUUUGUGUGAAAAUAUUAAUGUCAACAAUUUUAAUAAAAUCUAGAAAAGGAUGAAUGUUCUUUGAUGUUCUGGGUUUUUCUGGGUGAAUGUUGAUACGGUUCUUCACUUACUAGGAUGAAUCUCUGUUGAAUUUUGGGGAAAAAAAUAUUAGGAUGUUUCUGUAUUUGUUUGAUGCAGCUGUAUAAAGCAAUAAAGAAAUAAUAGCUCAAGCUUUUGCUAUAAAUGUGUGGCAGGAAUUGAUCCUACACAUACGAGUUCCUCUAUGCUGUUCUUUUAUUUCCUCUUGUCUAACUUCAUAUAAAGAAUUUUGUAGUCCUUUGGAAUUCCAGUGAAAAGAAGUUGGGAAUGGAGAACAUCUAACUUUCAUCAAUGCUUCCAUCCGAAAAUUACCACACUCAACGUAAUCUACCACCUAUGCUCAAUAACUUGGGGUAUUCAUGAGUGUAAUUGCUGCCUAGAUUAUUUUAACUUUUGAGUUCUGGUGGACACUGCAGUGAGGAACAAUUCAUUUGAUGAGAUGUUCUUGCUGGUGGGAUUGGUACUCUAGAUGAGGUGUUUAAGAUACAGGCAUGCACUGAUUCAGCUUGAAUGGAUUGGACCAGAGCUCUUUGUGUUCUCUUCUAGAAGAAGUGUUUGAGAUACAGGCACUGAUUCAGCUUGAAAUGAAUUGGAGUAUGCUUUAUUUCUCUUUGUCUACAUCACACUGAUAGGUGUUAGACAUAAAAUUAUGGCUAAAUUACUAUGUUGGUCUUGUAUCUCUAUUUUAUAUUGUAAUUUAAGCUUCUAUUUGUUAAAAGUUACAAAAUGAUAUUUUAUUUAUUAAAAGCUGUAAAAUGGUUUCUUACAUAAUUUAUUUAUUGUAUCUUUACUUCUGAAGUAAUGUCUUUUUCAGUUGUUUUGGAUAAAUAAAAAAUAAUUAUUUUAAGUUAUAACUAAUA